rnacentral:rRNA from 1 species
UACGUAGGGUGCGAGCGUUAAUCGGAAUUACUGGGCGUAAAGCGUGCGCAGGCGGUUUUGUAAGCCAGAUGUGAAAUCCCCGGGCUUAACCUGGGAAUGGCAUUUGGGACUGCAAGGCUGGAGUGCGGCAGAGGAGACUGGAAUUCCUGGUGUAGCGGUGGAAUGCGCAGAUAUCAGGAGGAACACCGGUGGCGAAGGCGGCAUCCUGGACCGGUAUUGACGCUGAGGCGCGAAAGCGUGGGAGCAAACAGG